rnacentral:misc_RNA from 1 species
GUUGGAGCUACCUGGAGGGCGGGAGAGCUUCAGCCGCGCGCGAAUGGUUCGCGCGAACAGGUCUGGCAUUGUGUGCUCUUUUCGGAAGGCGCUCAGCACGGGAUCGAGUUGCUUUUAUCCUUACGACAACGAGCUUUGCGUGACUCGACGGUAAUUUUGAACCAGCGGAAUAGAGACUACUGCAUCGCGCCGUUCCGAUCCAGAUGCUGCAGCGUUGGCGCCGAUGUUUGCGGUGCCGGGGGCCGGUAGCUCAGCGAUGAGUGCGGUCAGAUCAGAUCGUGUUGAAGCGCUUGCGCCA